ensembl:ncRNA Su(Ste):CR42427 Su(Ste):CR42427
UGUUUUCCUGACUUUACAUCAAAUAUUUUUUGAUAAUUUAAGUUCAAAUUUAACAUUAUUCUUUAAAUAUACAAAUUCUGGUUUAAUGUAUUAUAGGAGUGAGUAAAAGGUUAAAACAUUAUUUUCAAUUUAAAAUAAAAUUAUAAUUUUGAUUCAAUCAUUCUAUACUGGCAAGUUCGUAUUUUAGUUUGAUUUCCCAUGCGGUUUUUGGUUAAUUUCCAACAUACCAGAUUGAUUUCGCCCGUAAAUUUAAAGGCACUUGAUUGCCUUUUUUGAAGAACGUUGCUUCAAAACGGAAAAUCGAAGGAAAACCUGACCGGACCUAAAGGACAGGCUUGGGGGGAAAACUGGCAGUGCAUUUUUCCAGCCCCAGAGAUUUUCCCCGGCACGUCGGGGAACUUAUUAUGAAAUAAAAGAACUAAUACUUAUUAUGCCAGCCGAACAUAAAACGAAUUUUCGAGUCUAGAGUUCCCAUCUGCAAGGGCAUGACAGAGUCCUGG